rnacentral:rRNA from 1 species
AACGAACGCUGGCGGCAUGCCUAACACAUGCCAGUCGAACGAGACCUUCGGGUCUUGUGGCGCACGGGUGCGUAACGCGUGGGAACCUGCCCUUAGGUUCGGAAUAACUCCCCGAAAGGGGUGCUAAUACCGGAUAAUGUCUUCGGACCAAUGAUUUAUCGCCUUUGGAUGGGCCCGCGUUGGAUUAGCUAGUUGGUAGGGUAAAAGCCUACCAAGGCGACGAUCCAUAGCUGGUCUGAGAGGAUGGUCAGCCACACUGGGACUGAGACACGGCCCAGACUCCUACGGGAGGCAGCAGUGGGGAAUAUUGGACAAUGGGCGAAAGCCUGAUCCAGCAAUGCCGCGUGAGUGAUGAAGGCCUUAGGGUUGUAAAGCUCUUUUACCCGGGAUGAUAAUGACAGUACCGGGAGAAUAAGCUCCGGCUAACUCCGUG